rnacentral:rRNA from 1 species
GAUGAACGCUGGCGGCGUGCCUAAUACAUGCAAGUAGAACGCUGAAGGAGGAGCUUGCUCUUCUGGAUGAGUUGCGAACGGGUGAGUAACGCGUAGGUAACCUGCCUGGUAGCGGGGGAUAACUAUUGGAAACGAUAGCUAAUACCGCAUGACAACAGUUAUUGCAUGAUAACUGUUUAAAAGGGGCAACUGCUCCACUACCAGAUGGACCUGCGUUGUAUUAGCUAGUUGGUGAGGUAACGGCUCACCAAGGCGACGAUACAUAGCCGACCUGAGAGGGUGAUCGGCCACACUGGGACUGAGACACGGCCCAGACUCCUACGGGAGGCAGCAGUAGGGAAUCUUCGGCAAUGGACGGAAGUCUGACCGAGCAACGCCGCGUGAGUGGAGAAGGUUUUCGGAUCGUAAAGCUCUGUUGUAAGAGAAGAACGAGUGUGAGAGUGGAAAGUUCACACUGUGACGGUAUCUUACCAGAAAGGGACGGCUAACUACGUG